AACAAGGAAAGAGAGAGAAAGAAAAGAAAAAAAAACUUUUCCGAAGCGGAGAUCGAAAUCAUCUUGGGUGAAAUAUAUUUUAUUGGGUAAAUUUUUUUUUUUUUCUAUCAGUAGUGGUGUUAUGACAGGGACAGGCAAAGCGAAGGCCUGGAAGGAGGUGACAGAUGCUGUUAAUGUUGCCUCUGUAGACAAUAGAACCAUAUCCGAGGUUAAACGUAAAUGGUUUGACAUGAAACUGGAGGCAAAGAAACGUAUAUGCCCACAAAAAAAACAUCAGCCACAGGAGGAGGAGGCUCACAGGCACAAAUAUCACCUGCUGACGAGCGCAUCGCUGGCAUUAUUGGGGAGACCUCUCUGUCAGGAAUUAUACCUGACGGAGACACCGACAUGCCUCCACUGGAGACAACAUCAAACCCAGAUGCUGGCGAGUGCUCCUCCCAUGAUGUGGCUCCACCACCUGCUGCCGCCGCUGCUGCUCCUGCUGCAUCCAGGUAUCGAGGCCGAAGAGGUGAUCCGGCUGUCCUUACGGAUGAGGUCCUGAGGAAUCAAGAAAGUCUACUUACAGCAGUCAACCAAAUCAACACGUCCCUCCAAGAAAUUAACACCAGCUUGAAGGAAAUCUGCAACCUCUGCGUCCUCAACAAUAAAGUGUUAUGUUGUCAGUA